UUUAAGCUAUGUAAAUAUAAACUAUUGGACUUCAAAUCUAAAACACACUUCUGUUUGGGU
rnacentral:tRNA from 1 species